AACAACAUGCUCGGGAAGAAUGAAUAUCUAAGACUGGUAUGAGGGUGAGAGAUAUCAAACAUCCAAAAUUAUCUGAGGAGGACCUAAAAAGGGAUACUUCAGCUUAGAAAAAUCUGACUCCGCAGGGGACAAAAAGCCAUAAUAGGGAGCAGAAGGAAGGAACACUAGGGAUACUAGUUACUGGGCAUAAAAUAGGUGACCAACCAAGGCGUGAAUUGGG
rnacentral:lncRNA from 1 species